AGAGUUUGAUCCUGGCUCAAAAUCAACGCUGGCGGCGUGCCUAACACAUGCAAGUCGAACGCGAAAGGGGCUUCGGCCCUGAGUAGAGUGGCGAACGGGUGAGUAACACGUGGGUGAUCUACCUUCGAGUGGGGGAUAACGUCCCGAAAGGGACGCUAAUACCGCAUGACGUUCUGGGUUUGAAGACCUGGAAACCAAAGCUGGGGACCGCAAGGCCUGGCGCUAAAAGAGGAGCCCGCGCCUGAUUAGCUAGUUGGCGGGGUAAUGGCCCACCAAGGCGACGAUCAGUAGCCGGCCUGAGAGGGCGGACGGCCACACUGGGACUGAGACACGGCCCACACUCCUACGGGAGGCAGCAGUGGGGAAUUGUUCGCAAUGGGCGCAAGCCUGACGACGCAACGCCGCGUGGAGGGAUGAAGGCCUUCGGGUCGUACACUCCUGUUGAUCGGGAAGAGUGGGCUCCGGGUAAAUAUCCCGGAGCAGUGACGGUACCGAUUGAGGAAGCCACGGCUAUCUCUGUGCCAGCAGCCGCGGUAAUACAGAGGUGGCAAGCGUUGUUCAGGAAUUACUGGGCGUAAAGGGCGCGUAGGUGGCCUUCUUAGUCAGACGUGACAUCCCCAGGCUUA
rnacentral:rRNA from 1 species